rnacentral:rRNA from 1 species
ACGAACGUUGAUGGCGUGCCUCAUACAUGCAAGUCGAGCGCCCCGCAAGGGGAGCGGCGAACGGGUGAGUAACACGUAAGGAAUCUGCCCUGAAGCGGGGAAUAACUAUCCCAACGGAUAGCUAAUACCGCAUAAUGAUGGAGACGGCAUCGUCUCUUCUCAAAAGGCUUCGGCCACUUCAGGAUGACCUUGCGUCCCAUUAGCUUGUUGGCGGUGUAACGGACCACCAAGGCUACGAUGGGUAUCCGGCCUGAGAGGGUGUACGGACACAUUGGGACUGAGAUACGGCCCAGACUCCUACGGGAGGCAGCAGUAGGGAAUUUUGCGCAAUGGGGGAAACCCUGACGCAGCAACGCCAUGUGUGGGAUGAAGCAUUUCGGUGUGUAAACCACUGUCAGCAGGGAAUAAACGGCAGCUUCGGGCUGCUUUGAAUGUACCUGCAAAGGAAGCCCCGGCUAACUUCGU